AUUGAACGCUGGCGGCAUGCCUUACACAUGCAAGUCGAACGGUAACAGGUCUUCGGAUGCUGACGAGUGGCGAACGGGUGAGUAAUACAUCGGAACGUGCCCGAUCGUGGGGGAUAACGAAGCGAAAGCUUUGCUAAUACCGCAUAAGAUCUACGGAUGAAAGCAGGGGACCGCAAGGCCUUGCGCGAACGGAGCGGCCGAUGGCAGAUUAGGUAGUUGGUGGGAUAAAAGCUUACCAAGCCGACGAUCUGUAGCUGGUCUGAGAGGACGACCGGCAACACUGGGACUGAGACACGGCCCAGACUCCUACGGGAGGCAGCAGUGGGGAAUUUUGGACAAUGGGCGAAAGCCUGAUCCAGCCAUGCCGCGUGCAGGAUGAAGGCCUUCGGGUUGUAAACUGCUUUUGUACGGAACGAAAAGACUCUGGUUAAUACCUGGGGUCCGUGACGGUACCGUAAGAAUAAGCACCGGCUAACUACGUGCCAGCCGCCGCCGUAACAC
rnacentral:rRNA from 1 species